rnacentral:lncRNA from 1 species
UAUAUUCUUGUAAAUAAAUUUUCUAGUAUCAUAAAGAAAAUUUCCUAUUGUGAGAUUUUUUUUAAGAAAUAAGUAUCUUUUGAUAAUCACAUAAUUAGUUUCCUACAAGGAAUCUUAUCGUGUAAUUAGAAAAAUAUAUAAGAAGAUAUUUUGAUUAAAAAGUAUGAGUCUCUUUUUUGGUUUAGUUGAGAUUUUGAGAUUUGAGGGCUUUAGGGUUGUAAUCUUCUUCAAUAAUAAUAGAAAUUCUUCUUCUUCACCCAUGGAUGUAAGCUUUAGGUUAAACCAAGCUUUAGGUCAAACCACAUAAAUCAUAACAUGUUUUGUGUGUUUUCUGUUUUCAUAUUCUUAUUUUCUUUUCCCUCUUAUCUAAACUUCUCAAUUUCCCCAUUAUAUGUGAGAUCUCCCUAUCUUUCAACACCUAACUUACGAGGAUUUUAAAACUAAAAAAUUGACUCCAUAUACUUGGGGAAUUGCAGUUUUGCAUAUAUAUUUGGGAGCGAUCAAUAGGUUAAAGAGAAGUUCAGGGGUUAGGUUACCUAGUAAGAAGGUAUUAGGUGCCCACUAAGCCCAACAUGAGAAAAUGGAGGCAACUUUAAUAAGUGAUUGAUUUGAUAAAAAAAAUACAAAGUCAAAUUAAAAUAAUAAAAUUAGUUUUCUCUAGCUAUUUGUGACUUUUGACAUGGUGGUGGAAGAAAGAAAUGCAUACAAAUAUGAAUAAUCACAUGGAUAAUCAAGUAAGAGGUUGUGGACAAGGAAUAUGAUGAGAUAUUUGCUCUCAUUGCUUAUUUAGAAAGUAUAAGAUUAAUCAUCUCUUUGGCUACUAAAAAUAACUGGAAGAUUUUUCAAAUUAAUGUGAAAUAUGUCUUUUUAAAUGGACAUCUUGAAGAAAAAGUGUAUAUGGAACAACCCAUGGAUUCUGUGUUAAGAUAAAACCCUUAAAAUAUGACAUUAUGUAAUAAAAUUUUGGAUUUUAUUUGUUUAAUAAAGUUUCGAUUCACUUUUAUCUAUCAUAUUUCCAUGCAUCAUAUCUUGUAAACACUUUAAUCUGCAUCUUUUGCAUUGUACAUGAUUUUGGUGCAUUAGAAGUUACAUGAAAAAUCUAAGUCAUGAGUUCUUUGCAAAUAGAUGAUUGUUCACAAUCGGUUCAUGGGUCUAGGCAACCCAUUAGAGGUUGUAGUGCACCACCUCCUAAUUGGAUGGAUGGUUGGUCUUGGCUAUCAUGAUAGAUUUCUCAUGGUGAGUGCACUAGUAUGUAUGAUUACACAUUGGAUACAACCUAUGAUGAGUCAUGACUUAACGUUAUCAAGUAUUCAUGACCUUACCAAAUUGUUUCAUUGUGUUGUUUCUUAAUUUUGACAAAAUAAGUUUGUGCUGAAAUUAACAGUGGCUUUGACCUAUGGGUGAGAUUAUAAGUUGAUUAUAUAUUAUUUAUAGAUUGAGUCAUUGUUAAUGAAAGUUAAUAGCAAUAGGUAUUCUCAAUAGAGACACCAUGAUAUCUUUUAGGAUUGAGACAGUGUGUUUCCUUAGAAGAUCCUAAGGAAAUGUGUCAUGGAAACUAUGACUAUAGUAGUUCCUUAAGUAGAACUUGACAUAUGCUCUUGAAGAGCUAAAACAUGUCAAUUGAAUACAUAAUAAAAGGACUUGUAACUCAAGGAUAGUAGAGAUAGUCUUGAAAAACAAAUAGUAUUCACCUUAAUUAUUAGACUACGGACACCGGUUCAUGGGGAGAUUGAAUGCAAUAGAUAAUAGGUCACAGACCUGAGCAUUUGGCAUCUCGUUGUUAUUUACAGAGGAUACUAAAAUUUAGUUGAUUCUUUAUAGUGGAAUGUUAAAUCAACUUUAUAAUUGGCUUUUGAAAGAGUCAGUACUCUUAUAAGUCCUAUUGCUCCUCGUUUUGAGCUCAUAUACCUUGUUGGUAUGGGUUAUGAGGGUUGGAUCAACUUUAGGUUCACAUUUUUGCAUAAGGGUGUUUUGGUAAUUACACAAGGUUGCACAAGGGGAAGUAAGUAAGGUUUCUGGAUUGAGUUAAAUGAGUAAUUAUAAUUAAUAACCCUUGUUGGGUUAAUUAAUCAAUUAGGACCCAUUUUGGGCUAAAUUAAGUGACCCAAGCUCUUAGUGGACUCAAGUCACUUAAACCUAUUGGGGAACCCUAAAUACCUCCUUAAGGGUUAGGGUUUCCAUAACUUCUUCUAGAGAGUCAUUUUCCACUUCUAAAGAGAGAGAACAAUAGCUUUCACCAUCUCUUUCAUUUCCAUCGGAAGUGUGUCAAGAUCAAGGUUCAAGUUAUCAAGAGGAAUACUUUGGGUUUACAAGACUUCCUGGGACUUUCAUUCUUCAUCUUCAUCGUGUGGAUUCAAUUUGGGAACAUCCGAAUCUAAUGUAUGUUGUUCGUUAGUACUUUCUGAAUCCCUUAAAUUUUAAAAAUGCAAUUUUUCCACCGUGUAUAGGAUUUAGAAAAGCUUAAGAUAGUUUUACAUGUUUCUAACCUAAUCCGGACUUGGGAAAUGUAGAAAUCUUGGAUUUUCCCUUCAUUAUGUGGUGAAAGGGCACAAGAAUAAGGUUUUAAAUUUAAAAAGAGUCAUGUAUGGAUUAAUUAAAAAAAAAAAACAGCAAGAGCAUAGGAAUAGUAAAACUAACAAAUAUUUUUAAGAUAAUCAUUUUAUUAAAUACCUUCAUAAACAUGCUCUCUAUAUAAAGGUGAAUGAAAAAGGUAAUAUUUAUUACUUGUUUGCUUGUAUGUGGAUUAUUUGAUCUUCAUUAAAAAUAAUUCAAUCAUAUUUGGUGAAUUCAAUAAGUAAUGGCUCGAGAGUUUGAGAUAACUGACAUUGAUCUCAUCUCAUACUAUCUUGGCAUAGAAAUGAAACAAACUAAAAUGGUACUUUUAUAUCUUAAGAAGGCUAUGCAAAAAAACAAAAAAACAAUCUCUAGAAGUUUGAUAUGAACAUGUGUAAUUCGAUGUACACAUAAUAGAAUAUGGAGUUAAAUUAUCUAAGACAUGAAGAAAAUAUGCAUCCAACAUAAUACAAAAGUUUAGUUAGAAGCUGACGUUGUUUGACUUAUACAAGGUCAGACAUUCCUUUUGGAGUUGGACUUGCUAGUCGUUAUAUAAAAACACCAAUAGUGACUCACAUGAAAAUUGUUAAAUGAAUUCUUUACUACAUUGAAGGUAUACUUGAUUAUAGUUUAUUUUAUAACUCCUAACCAUUUUAAGCUUAUUAGAUAUAGUGAUAGUGAUUGGGGCAGAGACUUGGAUGAUUGAAAGAAAACCAGUGACUUUGUGUUUUUAUGGGAGGUUCCACAUUCACUUGCACCUCAAAGAGGCUAUUUAUUGUGAUACUUUUAACUUGUGAAAAGGAAUUUCUUUCAACAAUAUCAUGUGCAUGUCAUGCAAUUUGGCUAAAAAAUUUGUUGAAGGAACUGAAUUUUCCACAAAAUAAACCAAAAAAGAUAUAUGUGGACAACAAAUCAACGAUUACAUCAUCAGAACAUCCCAUUUUCCAUGACGAAGCAAAUACAUCGAGAUAAUAUAUCAUUUUAUUAUAUAGUGCAUUAUGAAGAAAGAAGUGUAAUUAAAAUUGAUCAAAUUUCAAGAUCAAAUUUACAGACAUUUUUACUAAAUCUCUCAAAUUUAAAGAUUUUAAAAGGUUAAAAAUGCUACUUGGAGUUACAAAUCAAGUUUAAGAGGGCAUGUUGGAAAGUUAAACUUGAUUUAGAAAUUUUUAAAAAAUUACAAUUCAAUUUAGUUUCCAAAAGUCAAAGGAAAUAUUUUAUUUUGAGUGGUUACUGUAGUUUGUAUAUUUAAAUACUUUGUAAUUGUUUAUAUUCAUUUUUCAACCCCAUUACUCCAAUAGAUGGCAUACAUAAAGCUAUGUCUUUGGAUUAAUAUUAGAGCUGCCUCUAAUUCUAAUGUGUUCAACUUCAUUAGACAAGGUUAUGUCGAUCAUCAUAUCCACAUAGUUACCUACAACAUUUUAUUGCAGUGCAUGCACAUGUCUUCAAUGGCUGUAUGCAUAAUACUAGUUUUUGCAAUAUGGGGUUGAAACAUGACUAGUUGUUAUAUACAAAGAAAUAAAUAAUCUAUACUUUUAAUAAUUUUAAUAUAGAUUUAUUUACUAUAUAAAUAUACUGGUAUUUAUGUAUAGCAUUUUCCGCAAAUAGUAGCCUCAAUUCUUGCCCAGAUUCACAUUCCAUUGUCAGCAGAGAAAAGGGACAAUUCCAUCUGAAUUGGGAAUAGAUCAUCAGAAAGGAAGAAACAGAAACAAUUCUAUCAUUAAUCAAUCAAACUGGUAAUACAUAGUACUUCUGGAUCGUAUAUAUAUAAUCCAACACUUGAAACCACCGACUCCAAAUCAACCUCCUUCAUACAUACUAAGCCUUAGAUACAAUGCCUGUUGAGCUUGUUGAGCUUCUUCUCAGUUUCAAGGGCCUGGUGGGUGGUAGGGGCUGUGUGGUGGACUGUAUGGACUUUUAUAUAUUUUGGGGCUGGGUGGUGGAUAGUGUGGGCUUUUAUAUAUUUUGGGGCUGGGUGGUGGACUGUAUGGGCUUUUAUAUAUUUUGGGGCUGGGUGGUGGAUUGUGUGGCCUUUUAUAUAUUUUGGGGCUGGGAGGUGGAAUGCGUGGGCUUUUAUAUAUUUUGGGGCUGGGUGGUGGACUGUGUGGGCUUUUAUAUAUUUUGGGGCUGGGUGGUGGAUUGUGUGGGCUUUUAUAUAUUUUGGGGCUGGGAGGUGCAAUGUGUGGGCUUUUAUAUAUUUUGGGGCUGGGAGGUGGAAUGUGUGGGCUUUUAUAUAUUUUGGGGCUGGGUGGACUUUUAUGCAUUCUUUUACAGUCCCUUGAUCCGGGAUUGCACAUGCUUGUAGAUGGUGGAUCAGGUAAAUUCCCUGCUAUAAAGCCCACCUUAUCGCUACUCAUUUCUUCUGCAACAUCCAUGCCAAAUAUUAUCAUAAAUCACAAAGAGGCAAAAACAGCAGCCCAUGCAUGACAGUAUAUUAAAUGGGAAAAUUGUGUACUAGCCUCCAAUCAUA